GAGAGUUUGGCCGAGUGGUUAAGGCGUCAGAUUUAGGUACUCUGAUAUCUACGGAUGCGCGGGUUCGAAUCCCGUAGCUCUCA
rnacentral:tRNA from 2 species